GCCUCUAUAGCUCAGUGGUAGAGCGCUUGACGUAUGUGAUCUCUUUCAAUUCUUGAUAUAAAUUCAUUAAACUAACAUUCAAAAGUUGUACCUUGAUAUCAAGAGGUCCGUGGUUCAAUCCCGCGUGGAGGCA